rnacentral:misc_RNA from 1 species
AAGUCGUAACAAGGUUUCCGUAGGUGAACCUGCGGAAGGAUCAUUACAACAAGGCCACGGGCCCCCGAAGCUCCGGCGGAAGGGGCACCGGCCUGACUUAUAUACCCACCCUUUGCCUAUGUGUACCUCUAUCGCUUCCUCGGCGGGCUCGCCCGCCGCUAGGAACCAACCAAACCCUUUGCAUCAUACAUCAACACUUCUGAUACCCACCAAAACUAUUACAACUUUUAACAAUGGAUCUCUUGGUUCUG